GAUGAACGCUCGCGGCAGGCCUAAUACAUGCCAGUCGGACGGGAUCCAUUGAUAGCUUGCUAUCAAUGGUGAGAGUGGCGCACGGGUGCGUAACGCGUGAGCAACCUGCCUCCAUCAGGGGGAUAGCCUCUCGAAAGAGAGAUUAACACCGCAUAAUAUCAACAGUUCGCAUGUUCAGUUGAUUAAAUAUUUAUAGGAUGGAGAUGGGCUCGCGUGACAUUAGCUAGUUGGUAGGGUAACGGCUUACCAAGGCGACGAUGUCUAGGGGCUCUGAGAGGAGAAUCCCCCACACUGGUACUGAGACACGGACCAGACUCCUACGGGAGGCAGCAGUAAGGAAUAUUGGUCAAUGGGCGGAAGCCUGAACCAGCCAUGCCGCGUGCAGGAUGACUGCCCUAUGGGUUGUAAACUGCUUUUGUCCAGGAAUAAACCUAAAUACGAGUAUUUAGCUGAAUGUACUGGAAGAAUAAGGAUCGGCUAACUCCGUG
rnacentral:rRNA from 1 species